GGCUGGUCCAAAGGUAGUGAGUUAGCUCAACUGAUCGUUCACAGUCAGUUACAGAUCAAAUUCCUUGUUCUACUCUUCCUACCUUCUCACUAGAGCACCAGACUAGUCUUAA
rnacentral:Y_RNA from 1 species